rnacentral:lncRNA from 10 species
ACUUUUGUUGGAGCCUGAAUGCAAGAGCCAUUCUCACUGGGAUGCCACAGCUCUGGAGACUUCUUAUAGAUGUUGUUUGGAACACUCCAGGCUUGGAGAUGGGCCUUUAGACACUGCCUGUAGUACUGCUUAGCAACAGCUCUACAGACAUAAAGAGAUUGCAGUGGCUGCUCCUUCCUGGCUCCACCAUUCAGCAAGAGCUCCACAGAGGAUGAAGAGAUCCUCCUAGCUUGGCGGAAUACUCUGCUCUGAUGGAAGUACCAUCCUGGUCCAAACAUGAAAGAAUUCCCAACAUCAAGAUUGAUUGAAACAUAUUCAAUGGAUCAUUUGCUCCAGAAGAAGCUGGUUGCCAUGUCUUGAGGACAGUAAACCCUCUGGGGAGGUUCCUGUGGUAAGGAACAAGGGCUCCUGGCAAUAGCCUCUGAGUGAGCCACCUUGAAAAUGGAUUGUCCAGCCCCAGUCAAGCUUUCAGAUGACUGUAGCUCCUGCCAAUGUCUUCACCACAACCUCAUGAGAUCCCAAGCUACAACCACUCAGAACUUCAUCUUUUGGGAAGCACCAGGGAGAGCUGCCUGUGCCUGGCAGAAGCUGCCCAUGCCCCACUGAUACCCCACAGUACUUCCUGUUCUGCUUAGUACUCCUGCUUCUUUCUACAAACAACUGUGAUUCUCUACCUGGGAGCUUCCUCUGGCCACAGGAGCCUGCUCACCUGAUUGGGACACCCUAGCAGUACUGGCUCAUAGAUGGAAGGGACUUGCCUUGUCGCUGAUGAGACUUUCGACUUGGACUUUUGAGUCAAUGCUGGAAUGAGUUAAGACUUUGGGGAACUGUUGGAAGGGUGUGAUUGUGUUUUGAAUUGUGAGGACAUGAGAUUUUGAAGAGGCUAAUGGCAGCGUCCCCACCUAAAUCUCUUCUUGAAUUGUAGUUCCCAUAAUCCCCACGUGUCGUGGGGUGGAGCCGGUGGAGAUAAUUGAAUCAUGGGAACACUUUCCCCCAUGCUGUUAUUGUGAUUGUGAAUUCUCACGAGAUCUGAUGGUUGUAUAAACGCCUUCCCUCUUCGCUGGGCACUCAUUUUUCUCCUUCCUGCCACCAUGUGAAGAAGGAUAUGCUUGCUUCUUGUGCCAUGAUUGUAAGUUUCCUGAGGCCUCCCCAGCCAUGCUGAACUGUGAGUCAAUUGAACCUCUUUCCUUUAUAAAUUACCUAGUCUUGGAUAUGUUUUUAUUAGCAGUGUGAGACAGGACUAAUACACAAAGGAUUUGAAAUCACAAAGGAGCUGUUUUCUGCUCCACCAUGGAAGUCUCACAUGCAUCACAUCUAUUCAUAUCCAUUUGCCACAACUAGACAAAAAGUCCUUUUUAAAAUCUGCCUAGAGAUCAGGAAGUAUUAUCUCUGGAUGCCUAGGCAGGAGAGGUGAAUCAGAUAUUGGUGGGCACUAGUGUGUUCUAUGAUACAUAGCUUAAUAAAAAUAAGUUUCAGAUAAAUCUAAAUAUACAUUAGAAUACUGUAACCACAGUAGAAAAAAAUAUUGGCUCCUUUUUGUGAUAAACUAAUGAUGGUAAAUGCACCCUAUUUAAGCAAGAAAAGAAACUGAUCUGCCAUAAAGAAAACAAUGACAUAUUUAACUACAAAAUAUGUUACAAAAUAUUAAUAUCCCUAAUGGACAAAUGAGUUCCAAUAAAUGGAUAACAAAAAACCAAUAAGUCUGUAGAAAAAUGGAGAAAAUAUAUUUGCAGAAUAUUUAUACAGGUGGUAAUGAAAUUGACAAUGAUGUUUAUCAUCAGCAGUAAACAGUAAAAAGUUUCACCCACCAGGACUAUAGAAAUUUUUCAAAUGGAUAAUUUUCAGAAUCAGCAAAGUUAUAGAAAAGUAGGUACCAGUUGCACAUACCAUUGGAGGAAAUGUAAAAUAUAGUUACCUUGUGGAAAGUAAUCUGAUGUAAUAUAUUAAAAUUUUAUCCAUGUAUGUCCUAUAAUUCAGCAAUUCCAUGUUGGGGAAUCCAUACAAAGAAAUACUUAUACACAUGCAGAAGGAGCUAAGUUUAAGAAAGCACACAUUUCAGCGGGUUGUGGUGUCUCACCCCUGUAAUCCCAGCACAUUGGGAGGCCGAGGUUGGUGGAUCACCUGAGGUCAGGAGUUUGAGACCAGCCUGGCCAACAUGGUGAAACCCUGUCUCUACUAAAAAUACAAAAAAUUAGCUGGUGUGGCAGUGGGUGCCUGCAGCUACUCAGGAGGCUGAGGCAGGAGAAUCGCUUGAACCUGGGAGGUGGAGGUUGCAGUGAGCUGAGAUCACACCACUGCACUCCAGCCUGGGUGACAAGAGCGAAAUUCCAUCUCAAAAAAAAAAAAAAAAAGAAAGAAAGCACAUAUUUCAAUAUCAUCUGCAAUGGUAUAAAAUCAUGCUAAUUUAAAAAUCCAUUAAUAAGGACUGGUUAAACAGUUUAUAGUUUAUUCACUAUAUGUAAUUUUAUAAGUUACCAAAAUCAUAGACUUACUGUAAAAUGAUUUUUCAAUUAGUAACUUUUCACCAUAACUUUUUUGGGGUAAUUUAUACCACUUUUUCGAUGACUCUUCUUGUUUAUGCUUUCACCUGAAAACAUACAAACUAAAUAUAAUCUAAAAAUAAUAUUUUUUAUUUUAGACAAGAACACACUCAGAAAUUUUCUCAACACAGUUUCUAUGCAGAGAAGAGAUGUGGGACAGAUUUGAACUGCUGUCAUAUUUGUAUGAACCCAAGACAUUUUCCAAGACCAAGAGGGAUAAAGACAGCAAUUUCUAUGACUGGCAUUUUACGUGCAUGCACUGUUUCCAAGUGUUCUUGUGUUCUGUGCCUUAAACAUUCUGUGUUGCAACUUUAUGAAUUGAAUUAAAGAUAAUCCCAAGCCCCCAAUUGUCUCAAAAAGUGAAAAAGUAAAUGUUAUAGAAAGAAAAGCGGGAAAAACUUUAAGCAUGAAAUAAAAGAUGGGUUGUGAUAAAAGAGGACUGAAGAAGGAAAAGGAAUGAAAGGUUCUGCCAUCCUUCAUGGCAGCCCACUCCACUUGGUAUGAGAUACUGCUCCCUUGGCUGAAAGUUAACUGCUGUACUCCCUCCACUUUCUAUAAAUGACUCCCUGUGCCUUUCCUUCACCACACAACUCACACUCUCUUCCUUCCUAGUGAGUCCACUAAGGCUUCACUGCAUUAUUACAUUUAUUUCAUUUAGGAAAAACUGACUUUAUUUUCCUUCAAAUUGUUUUUUAUUGUUUAUAUGAGCUUGGUUUUAUUGUCAUUCUAUUUUUCUCCAUGAAAAUAGAGAAAAAUAGGGUCGAAAGGUUAGGUUGGGUGGAAAGGAAUUAUAUUUUUUCUCACUAAAAUUGAUGUAAAUAUCGUUUUCAAUUGAAUGAUUUUACACAGUGGCACAGUUUCAGGUAUGUUGCUAAGCAGGAAAGUUGUUAACCAAAGCAUGAAUGUAUUAAGGAGAUGUAUGCAGAAUGACAUGCAAGGUUAUCUAUGAUUGCUGAGUGAGAAAGAGCAAGUUGCUGAGUAUUAUAUAAGUAUGAUCUCACUUUUGUAAAAAAAAAAAAAAAAAAAGGCCUGGACUGAUCUGAAAUGACCCUAUUAAUAACAAUUAUGUCCAGGUCUGUAUUGCAUACUUGUCAUUCAUUACAGGAUCUUGAGACACAAUGCAAAGGAUCACAUCGCAGCUCUGUAACUUGUUAACUAUAAGAUUUUGAGUAACAUAACACCUUACUCCUUAAAAUUGCUUAAAAAAAAUCUGAACAUCAGGAAUAUUCUACUUCACAGGGUCGUUGUGAUAAUUAAAUGUAGUAAUCAAUGACAAUAGUGCCAGAUACAGUAGAUAGCCUACACUUUGCAGCUACUAUUUCUAUCUAUCAUCCAUCUAUUAAUAUAUAUCAUCUAUCUUUAACUUAUCAUCUAUCUUGUUCCAGUUUUUUAAAAUGAACAUGUAUUAACUUUGUAAAAAAUUAAGGCUAUAAGAUGUGCUGAGCUUUUGGAAUAGAUUUUCCUGUACUAUAUAUGACUGCCAGUGGGAGAAUUUGAAUAAAUGUGUAAAUUUGACUAAAUCUGAAUAAAUGUUCAUUUGACGGGACCAUAGAUUUGGGGGUCUAGCACUAGCUCUGUUUCUACACUCCUGCUGCUGCCUGAUAGAGAUGCCUCUCUUGUUUUGGACUCCAAGGUAAAGUAAGCCUUUUCAUUUUGUGCAUCAUAAUUUAAAAUGACAAAUGGAAUCUAUUUUUUUCUCCAUCUAACGCAUAUAUAGCUACCAUUUAUUAAUUCUUGUUUCCUUCUUAUGUUGCUCUUUGUUGUCAUUUUUAAGGGAAGAAGAGACUGGGUCACGGGAAUGCUUUAAUGUGGAAACCCUGAAUUCGUUCCACACAUCUGCCUUCUGGGGACACAGGUAAAUGAGGCCGAGUAGUGAAGUGGGAAGUUCCUGAAAAUGUGACAGCAAGCCUCUGUCCACUGCCAGACCGAAGACAGGGAGGCGCUCAUCGGCAAAUUAAUGGAUGUUAAAGGGAAGCAAAAUAACACCAAGAUAGACUCAUGAAUU